UCUUCUUGAUCGGGGAUUCAGGAAGGAGCCCAGGAGCAGAGGAAGUAGAGAGAGAGACAACAUGUUACAUCUGCACCAUUCUUGAGACAGGGUCUCACCAUGUUGCUCAAGCUGGUCUUAAACACCUGGGCUCAGGCAAUGCUCCCACCUUGGCCUCCCAACGUGCUCAGAUAAUGGGCAUGAGCCACCACGCCUGACCGCUUCUGGAUCUCUUGAUGGUGCUUUCUCAGAAUGCACUGAUAGUGAUUUAUCCUGCAUCUGGAGAAUGAAGCAUGAGACCCGUGAUUAAUAGAUGUGCUCCAGGCUCCCUUGAUUUGAUGUUGCCCCAGGCAGCCUCAGAAGGAAUUGUAUUUCAUUCUCUGCAAAUCAGUUUGUGUUUCAGGAGCUGGCUGCCA
rnacentral:lncRNA from 1 species